rnacentral:rRNA from 1 species
GGCAGAUAGUACAUGCAGUCAGAGCGCAGGAACCGUCUGAACCCUUCGGGGGGACGACGGCGGGGGGCGGACGGGUGAGUAACACGUAAAGAACCUGCCCAUAGGACUGGGAUAACCACGAGAAAUCGGGGCUAAUACCGGAUGUGUCAUCGGACCGCAUGGUCCGCUGAUGAAAGGCGCUCCGGCGUCGCCCAUGGAUGGCUUUGCGGUGCAUUAGCUAGUUGGUGGGGUAAUGGCCCACCAAGGCGACGAUGCAUAGCCGACCUGAGAGGGUGAUCGGCCACACUGGGACUGAGACACGACCCAAACUACUACGGGAGGGGCAGUAGUUUUCUUCCACAAUGGAAGGGAGACUGAGUGAGCGAGGGCGCGUGUACCAUGAAGGCUUUCGGGUCGAAAAGCCCCCCCCUAAGCGAAGAACAAGGGCCGCAGUCUGGCCGGCGGUUUUACGUUCUUUUGGGGGGAAAGGCCCCGCUAACUACGUGGCACCACCCGCGGGUAAUUUUUAGGCGCUAAGGUGAGGCCGAGAUCUAUGGUGCCUGCAGGCCGGGCAGGCUGCCUCUUAGUGUGCGAUGCAAGGCCUCGGCCGCUGACUGGGGUGGGAAUUUGUGAUACGGGGAGGUCUGUGAAUGGAAACAGACAAGGGGACUUUGGGAUGCGACGUGGAAAAAUGGCCACGGCUGUGAUGAUGAUCAUGAGGGGGGGCGCAUAUCGUUUUCCGUUUAUCCUGAAAGUUAACGGAAACAGUUUUGAGACUGGAAGUUGUGAUGCCUUCCCCUGUAUUGCAUCGAGGUCGGAUAGCUUUGGAGGGAUAGCCACCGCCGAACUGCUAAAGACGACGAGUCGUGCUCGAGCUCUCCGAGCCUGGCGGGGCUGGAUGAUGGAGUCGAUUCCGCCACCUCAGCUACGUGGAACUUCGGGAACUCCCCUCGGG